UACAACGAACAACCACCUCUCAGGGCGG
rnacentral:piRNA from 1 species